GAUGAACGCUGGCGGCGUGCUUAACACAUGCAAGUCGAACGAAGAUGCCGGAGUGCUUGCACUUUGGCAGACUGAGUGGCGGACGGGUGAGUAACGCGUGGGUAACCUGCCUUAUACAGGGGGAUAACAGUUGGAAACGACUGCUAAUACCGCAUAAGCGCACGGUAUCGCAUGAUACAGUGUGAAAAACUCCGGUGGUAUAAGAUGGACCCGCGUCUGAUUAGCUAGUUGGUGAGUAACGGCCACCAAGGCGACGAUCAGUAGCCGGACUGAGAGGUUGAACGGCACAUUGGGACUGAGAACACGGACCCAGAACUCCUACGGGAGGCA
rnacentral:rRNA from 1 species